AAAGAAGGGAAACGAAGAGAUUUUACAGAUUGUGGAAUUACUAUUUGUAGGUAUUAUAAAAUUUACUUAUGUGUAAUGCGCAGCAUUUUUAUUUCUCUCUCGCAGGGAUUGGAACGGAAAUCGGUCUUCAAUGGCAAAACGUUGUCUCUUAGGCUUUCAAUCUUCAGAGGGAAUGAGAAGAUAGAAGAAUUAAAAAGGGCAGUGGAAUAUGAAGUGAACCAAAUGGAAAGGAAGGGAAACGAAGAGAUUUUAUAGAGUGUGGAAUUGUUAUUUCUAGGGAUUAGAAAGGAAAUCUGUCUUCAAUGCCAAAAGGUUGUCGUUUAGGAUUUCAAUCUUCAGAGGGAAUGAGAAGAUUAAAAAGGGCAGUGGAAUAAGAAGUGAACCAAAAGGAAAGGAAGUUAAACGAAGAUAUUUUACAGAUUGUGGAACUGUUAUUUCUGGGGAUUGGAAAGAAUAUCAGUCUUCAAUGUCAAAUGGAUGUCUUUUAGGAUUUCAAUCUUCAGAGGGAAUGAGGAGAUAGAAGAAUUAAAAAGGGCAGUGGAAUAAGAAGUGAACCAAAAGGAAAGGAAGGGAAACGAAGAUUGAUGUUAGAUAUUGUGGCAAUGUUAUUUCUGGGGUUUGGAAAGGAAAUCAGUUUUCAAUUGAUAAAGGUUGACUUCUAGGAUUUCAUUCCUUAGAGGGAAUGAGAAGAUAGAAGAACUAAAAAGGGCAGUAGAAUAAGAGGUGAAUCAAAAGGAAAGGAAGGG